rnacentral:sRNA from 1 species
UUCUAGCCCUGAUAGGAGCGGCAUCCUUUUAUUUAAUUCUUCAAAAUUAAAUAAAAGAUAUAGCAGAUAGCAGGAAAUAGC